UCCCGCUUAGCUCAGCGGUAGUAGCGCUUCACUAGUAUCAUGGACUGUCAAGUCCGGCUAUGAAGAGGUCAGUCGUUCAAAUCGGCUAGUGGGAA